rnacentral:rRNA from 1 species
UACACUCCUGCGGGAGGCAGCAGUGGGGAAUUUUGGACAAUGGGCGAAAGCCUGAUCCAGCAAUGCCGCGUGUGUGAAGAAGGCCUUCGGGUUGUAAAGCACUUUUGUCCGGAAAGAAAUCCUUGGCUCUAAUACAGUCGGGGGAUGACGGUACCGGAAGAAUAAGCACCGGCUAACUACGUGCCAGCAGCCGCGGUAAUACGUAGGGUGCGAGCGUUAAUCGGAAUUACUGGGCGUAAAGCGUGCGCAGGCGGUUUGCUAAGACCGAUGUGAAAUCCCCGGGCUCAACCUGGGAACUGCAUUGGUGACUGGCAGGCUAGAGUAUGGCAGAGGGGGGUAGAAUUCCACGUGUAGCAGUGAAAUGCGUAGAGAUGUGGAGGAAUACCGAUGGCGAAGGCAGCCCCCUGGGCCAAUACUGACGCUCAUGCACGAAAGCGUGGGGAGCAAACAGGAUUAGAUACCCGGGUAGUCCC